AUACACCUCUGCGGGCCCACGAGACAAAAGGCAGUCUCGAGUGGCGGACGGGUGAGUAAUGUCUGGGAAACUGCCCGAUGGAGGGGGAUAACUACUGGAAACGGUAGCUAAUACCGCAUACCAUCGGAUGUGCCCAGAUGGGAUUAGCUAUGAGGUGGGGUAAUGGCUCACCUAGGCGACGAUCCCUAGCUGGUCUGAGAGGAUGACCAGCCCAACUGGAACUGAGAAACGGUCCAGACUCCUACGGGAGGCAGCAGUGGGGAAUAGUGCACAAUGGUGGCAAGCCUGAUGCAGCCAUGCAGCGUUUAUGAAGAAGGCCUGCGGGUUGUAAAGUACUUUCAGCGAGGAGGCGUUACUCGCAGAAGAAGCACCGGCUAACUCCGUGACAGCAGCCGCGGUAAUUC
rnacentral:rRNA from 1 species